rnacentral:pre_miRNA from 1 species
UUUAUACUCCCUCUGUCCGAAAAUACUUGUCAUCAAAAUGGAUAAAAAGAGAUGUAUCUAAAACUAAAAUACAUCUAGAUACAUCCCCUUUUAUCCGUUUUGAUGACAAGUAUUUUUGGACGGAGGGAGUAUUAU